rnacentral:rRNA from 1 species
CCUACGGGUGGCAGCAGUAGGGAAUCUUCCACAAUGGGCGAAAGCCUGAUGGAGCAACGCCGCGUGGGUGAAGAAGGUCUUCGGAUCGUAAAACCCUGUUGUUAGAGAAGAAAGUGCGUGAGAGUAACUGUUCACGUUUCGACGGUAUCUAACCAGAAAGCCACGGCUAACUACGUGCCAGCAGCCGCGGUAAUACGUAGGUGGAAAGCGUUAUCCGGAUUUAUGGGGCGUAAAGGGAACGCAGGCGGUCUUUUAAGUCUGAUGUGAAAGGCUUCGGCUUAACCGGAGUAGUGCAUUGGAAACUGGGAGACUUGAGUGCAGAAGAGGAGAGUGGAACUCCAUGUGUAGCGGGGAAAUGCGUAGAUAUAUGGAAGAACACCAGUGGCGAAAGCGGCUCUCUGGUCUGUAACUGACGCUGAGGUUCGAAAGCGUGGGUAGCAAACAGGAUUAGAUACCCCGGUAGUC